rnacentral:rRNA from 1 species
UGCGUAACGCGUGGGAAUCUGCCCUUGGGUUCGGAAUAACAGUUAGAAAUGACUGCUAAUACCGGAUGAUGUCUUCGGACCAAAGAUUUAUCGCCCAAGGAUGAGCCCGCGUAGGAUUAGCUAGUUGGUGAGGUAAAGGCUCACCAAGGCGACGAUCCUUAGCUGGUCUGAGAGGAUGAUCAGCCACACUGGGACUGAGACACGGCCCAGACUCCUACGGGAGGCAGCAGUGGGGAAUAUUGGACAAUGGGCGAAAGCCUGAUCCAGCAAUGCCGCGUGAGUGAUGAAGGCCUUAGGGUUGUAAAGCUCUUUUACCCGGGAUGAUAAUGACAGUACCGGGAGAAUAAGCCCCGUAACUCCGUGCCAGCAGCCGCGGUAAUACGGAGGGGGCUAGCGUUGUUCGGAAUUACUGGGCGUAAAGCGCACGUAGGCGGCUUUGUAAGUUAGAGGUGAAAGCCCAGAGCUCAACUCUGGAACUGCCUUUAAGACUGCAUCGCUUGAAUCAUGGAGAGGUCAGUGGAAUUCCGAGUGUAGAGGUGAAAUUCGUAGAUAUUCGGAAGAACACCAGUGGCGAAGGCGACUGACUGGACAUGUAUUGACGCUGAGGUGCGAAAGCGUGGGGAGCAAACAG